rnacentral:rRNA from 1 species
AGCUCCAAUAGCGUAUAUUAAAGUUGUUGCAGUUAAAAAGCUCGUAGUUGGAUUUCUGCCAGGGAGCAACUCGCCGAGGCUCGCAAGAGUCUUUGUGCUGAGAUGUUUUCCGGCAUAUUUUCCUGGUUUUGUUACGAGUACUGCCUUAAUUGGUAAGUGCGUAGCGAGUCCAGGGUUUUUACUUUGAGAAAAUUAGAGUGUUUCAAGCAGGCUUUUGCCUUGAAUACUGCAGCAUGGAAUAAUAAAAUACGACUUUGGUUUAUUUUGUUGGUUCUGGAACCGGAGUAAUGAUUAAUCGGAACGGUUGGGGGCAUUCGUAUUCGACAGUCAGAGGUGAAAUUCUUAGAUUUGUCGAAGACGGACUACUGCGAAAGCUUUUGCCAAGGACGUUUUCG